AUUGAACGCUGGCGGCAUGCCUUACACAUGCAAGUCGAAUGGUAACAGGUCUUCGGAUGCUGACGAGUGGCGAACGGGUGAGUAAUACAUCGGAACGUGCCCAGACGUGGGGGAUAACGAGGCGAAAGCUUUGCUAAUACCACAUACGAUCUAAGGAUGAAAGCAGGGGACCGCAAGGCCUUGCGCGUUUGGAGCGGCCGAUGGCAGAUUAGGUAGUUGGUGGGAUAAAAGCUUACCAAGCCGACGAUCUGUAACUGGUCUGAGAGGACGACCAGCCACACUGGGACUGAGACACGGCCCAGACUCCUACGGGAGGCAGCAGUGGGGAAUUUUGGACAAUGGGCGAAAGCCUGAUCCAGCAAUGCCGCGUGCAGGAUGAAGGCCUUCGGGUUGUAAACUGCUUUUGUACGGAACGAAAAGGCUCUGGCUAAUACCUGGGGCACAUGACGGUACCGUAAGAAUAAGCACCGGCUAACUACGUGCCAGCCGCCGCAGUAACAC
rnacentral:rRNA from 1 species